CUCGGCGAGGGCAGGUGUUGUUUGAGUAUUGGGCGUAAAGGGUGACUAGGCGGCCGUUUUGCUGGGUCAAGGUCUUCCGGCCUGGGUGUCCCCCAGGAGGGAUCUUGAUCCGACGGCUUGAGGUGGGUAGAGGAAAGCGGAAUGCGGACGGCACCGUUGAAAUGGGAUCAACCUCCGUGGAACACCGAUGGCGAAGGCAGCUUUCUGGGCCCAACCUGACGCUGACUCACGAAAGCCUGGGGAGCGAAACGG
rnacentral:rRNA from 1 species